rnacentral:rRNA from 1 species
ACAGGGGGGGCAAGCGUUGUUCGGAAUUACUGGGCGUAAAGGGUUCGUAGGUGGCCAACUAAGUCAGACGUGAAAUCCCUCAGCUUAACUGGGGAACUGCGUCUGAUACUGGUUGGCUUGAGUGCAGGAGAGGAACGCAGAAUUCCAGGUGUAGCGGUGAAAUGCGUAGAUAUCUGGAGGAACACCGGUGGCGAAGGCGGCAUCCUGGACCAAUAUUGACGCUG